rnacentral:pre_miRNA from 1 species
UUUCGAGGUAUUAUGUAGUGCUAUACGUUUAUGUUUCGGUUAUCACUACGUUUUAGCUCGUUAAC